rnacentral:rRNA from 1 species
UACGUAGGUGGCAAGCGUUGUCCGGAUUUAUUGGGUUUAAAGGGUGCGUAGGCGGUCCAUUAAGUCAGCAGUGAAAUACGGCAGCUUAACUGUCGAGGUGCUGUUGAUACUGGUGGACUUGAGUACUGAUGAGGUAGGCGGAAUGGACGGUGUAGCGGUGAAAUGCUUAGAGAUCGUCCAGAACACCGAUAGCGAAGGCAGCUUACUAAAGAGUAACUGACGCUGAGGCACGAAAGUGUGGGGAUCAUACAGG